UCCCUGGUGGUUCAGUAGGUAAAGAAUCUGCCUGCAAUGCAGGAGACCCAGGUUCAAUCCCUGGGUGGAGAA
rnacentral:tRNA from 1 species